rnacentral:tRNA from 1 species
GCCCUCGUAGUCUAGCCUGGGCAACUUUUGCCAAAGUUGCAUCAAAAGCGUUCAAGUGGGAUUUUCAAUCCCACGACAGAUGAAAUUACUUUGGGAAGUUCGGGCAAAUAGGACACGAGCUUGCGGAGCUUGGAACCGGAGUUCAAAUCUCCGCGAGGGCG